CGACGCGGUGGUGCGCGAUGUUCUUGAAAGCCCUUGGGGGAACUACCGACCCCACCAAACCGGGCCUGUUCGCCCGCGAGUUGGGGCGCCACUCGUUCGAGUGACGGGAGCGUCGGCUGGUCGGGCGGGUGGGGUACGGUCGCCGCACACAACCGCAAACAGAGAACGGCCCCCGACAGGACGGCAAUCCCGGCGAGGGCCUGACCAACCAGGAAGAGUCGAGCUUCCCG
rnacentral:ncRNA from 1 species